CCUAGCAAAUGCGGUGGCUUUCUGUAAAUUUCCUCCCUAUCCAAUCAAAACCCAUCCAAACCCUCGCUCGAUCCCCUCUCGCCCCACCCGCCGGCGGCGCCACCGCCAGAGCCACCGGCUCCCCCCCACCUCUGAUCCGGCGCUGCCGCGCCCUCUCGUCUCCUCCUUGUCCCAGAUCGGGAGCAGCUGAGCUCGGCGGAGGAGCAGCAGCAGCGACAUCUCAAGUUAGCAGUACAGGCAGUAUGGAUGGAACAAUGCAUGCUCCAAGCGGCGCCGAGCCACGUGUUGCUGCCCACUCUAGCGUGAACGGCAACGGCGCUGCCAGGCGCUUGCAUGAUGAAUGGCUGGAAGAGUAUGAAGCAGGUGUUUUCAUGAAGCUGAAGGACCUCGGUGACGGCACCCGAGAGCUGAAGAGGGUUCGGUUCAGCAAAAGGCGCUUUGGGGAGCAUCAGGCUGAGAAUUGGUGGAAAGAGAACCGCGAGAAGGUUUACGAGCGAUACAAUAUAAGGACCUCCCAACGAGCGUCGUCAGCAGCCCCAACCCACUCGGCCUAAUAACGUACCUUCCUGUUUCUUCACGCACAAACUGCAAGGCCAACCAUCAACGAGCAGCAGCAAAUCGUGAACGAAAUUAAGGGUUAUGUCAUAUGUGUACUGGGGGUGCAGACCGCCAUAUGUGAUCUUUAUCGUCUCUAGAUACUGUGGUAUUGGUAAGACUGGGGUACCUGGAUAUAUAUGCUCAACGUUUGAUCCAAUAUGAGGAAUUUUGACUUAGGAUUUCAAGUAAUUGGGAUCAAAGGCAUGGUACACUCUACCCUUUUUGGUCGCCGAUUUCUGCAUGUGCCGCUGUUGAAGAAAUAAAUACUCCUUCCAUGUCGCAAUACAAGUCGUUUUGGACAUUGACAUGGCUUCCAAGUUGGCAUGACGACUAGAGUAUGGAGUAUCUGAAAGUUGAAGUUAUGUAGCAGUAACAAGAAAAGAAGGAGAAAUUGGAAGACGAAACUAAGCAAGAAAAUUCUCCAGGAGCAUGAUCACCGAGUCACUCACUGACAGUUCAGGCUUCAUAGUUCAUUCCAUCUUCAGAAUGGGUUUCUUUGGAUUUCUAGCAAGCUGGGUCCGGAACUGUUCCUUGAGCCGUGCUUCCCUCUCUAACUCUGUACCCGCACGGUCCAUCUUGAAAUGAACGCUAAGCAAUACUUCCUUGAUGCUCGGGA